ACCAGCUUGAGAAUGAGACCGAUUUAUACCGAUUCCCUCGAGCAAACCCUAAUUUUCUUUGAUGAAAUUGUAGAGGGACGUGAGGAAGAGAAUUUCGAGGGUUAUCGGAGUGAUUGGAGCUGUGGAGGUUGAGGAAUUUGAAUGAAAAGUCGGGUUAAGUCUGAAUUUCGGACAGUCUGAACAGGCUUUAGUGUUUUAAAGUUCUUGAGCUGUAGAAACCAAAUUUGAAGCUGAAAUUUUGAGGUUACUAAGUUAAGAGGUUUAUUAACAUUUUUCUUGAAGGACGUUAGAGCUAAUUUUGACUGAAAAUUGGUGAAUUAAUAGGAAAACCGAGACUACACAGAAUUUCGGGCGAACAGAGAAACGUGACUUUUGGAGCUGAUUCGGUGUUAUUCAAGCGUUGUCAAAGCUUCAAAUUCUCAGGAUAGUUGGUUAAUAUGCUUAUUGGAAAGUUUAAGCAAGAUAUUUUAGGUUAUAUGGUUAGGGAUUGAUGAAUUUCAAGCUGGGAAAAAGUUCUGAAACUUCUCGCCGGAAAACAGGGGUAUCAAGAAAUAUUUGACCGAUUCCAGAAGAUUUAGGGCGAUUCAAGACUCCAAAAUGUGAGGUAAGAUAGUUUAGAGGAUGGGUAAGAGGUUUAUAUGAAUUAAUUCGAGUGGGUAUGGCUUAAAUGAGCGAAUUUGGUCGCCGGAAGUAUCACCGAAAAACUGGCCGAAUUUGGAAGAAAAUGUGGGCUGGAGGUUGAAGAUGACUUCUGUCCGUCAUUAAAAGCUGAAAAAUCCAAAUUUAUGGCCAAGUUCAAUUAGGAGAGGCUUAUAAAUCCGAAGGAUCGAGCCUGAAAUUGUAGUGGUCAUCUCCCCAGAGGUUAGCUGUCAUGCUGCUCUGCCACUCAAGGACUUCAGUUAAAAGUCCAAAGUCUAAAGAGAAGUUUUAGGUGUCUAUUUUGUAAAUGUAUGUACAUAUGUGUUGCUCAUAUUAGGGACUAGUAAAGUAUAUUGGGACCCGUUGAACUCUGUAUGUGUUAAUAUCAUGUAGUUAUGUUGUUGUUGAUCCCUGGUGUUCUGAGGUUAUUUUUAAAGUUCCAUUAGUUUGUUGAAUGUUAUAUAUGUAUUUCAGGGAUCUA